GCGCUCGCUUUCGCAGCACCUGUACUCAAAUGGGGACGAUACCGAGGACAUUAGCAUGGCCCCUGCGCAAGGGUGACAAGCAAAUUUGUGAAGCGUUCCAUAAAAAA